GAGAAGAACGCAGCGAAAUGCGAUAAGUAAUGUGAAUUGCAGAAUUCAGUGAAUCAUCGAAUCUUUGAACGCACCUUGCGCCCUUUGGCUAUUCUGAAGGGCAUGCCUGUUUGAGUAUCGUGAACACCUCAACUCUCAUGGUCUGCCAUGAUGAGCUUGGACUUUGGGGGUCUUGCUGGCCUACUGUCAGCUCCUCUCAAAUGAAUCAGCUUACCAGUGUUUGGUGGCACCACAGGUGUGAUAACUAUCUACGCUUGUGGUUUUCUGCCAGGUAACCUCCAGUGAUGGAGGUUCGCUGGAGCUCACAAAUGUCUCUCCUCAGCGAGGACAGCUUUUUGAACGUUUGAUCUCAAAUCAGGUAGGACUACCCGCUGAACUUAAGCAUAUCAAUAAGCGGAGGA
rnacentral:misc_RNA from 1 species